rnacentral:rRNA from 1 species
UACGUAGGCAGCGAGCGUUGUUCAGAGUUAUUGGGCGUAAAGGGUGUGUAGGCGGUUCUUUUAAGUUUGGUGUGAAAUCUCCCGGCUCAACCGGGAAGGUGCGCCGAAUACUGAGGGACUAGAGUACGGGAGAGGGGGGUGGAAUUCCCAGUGUAGCGGUGAAAUGCGUAGAUAUUGGGAGGAACACCGGUGGCGAAGGCGGCCCCCUGGACCGGUACUGACGCUGAGGCGCGAAAGCGUGGGUAGCAAACGGG